rnacentral:misc_RNA from 1 species
CCCUUAUAACUGUAUUCUUCCAGCUCCCUUUAACUAGGUCUGUAAAAUCCUUCUCUUUCAGCCAACAAUCGAAGACCCUGAAUGGUUUGGGUCCCCAAUCGACGUUUGUGGAUUUAAGCAAAAUAGGGCAGUGAUCCGAAAAAUUUGUCCAGUAUAAAAUAAGUGUUGCCGGGCCACACGGACAUCCAAGCAUCUGAAAUGAAAAAUCUGUCUAGCUUACUCUUUACAGUUCCAUUUGAUCGAUACCAAGUGAAUCCUCUCCCCACGCAUUGAGCUUCUUCCACUUCUAGCUCCGCUAACCAAGUGAAAUGGCAUUGCUAUCUGCCUCCCUUUGAGUGACACUUACUCUCUCCG